rnacentral:misc_RNA from 1 species
AACGCACAUUGCGCCCUCUGGUAUUCCGGGGGGCAUGCCUGUCCGAGCGUCAUUGCAACCCUCAAGCGCGGCUUGUGUUAUGGGCGUCGUCCCCGUGUGGACGUGCCCCAAAUUCAGUGACCUGGGCCGCGAUUUCGGCGCCCGAGCGAAUGGGAGCACCACUAGCUCGAACGGCACGACCGGCCCCGGGUCGAACCAACCAAAUCAUCAAGGUUGACCUCGGAUCAGGUAGGGAUACCCGCUGAACUUAA